rnacentral:lncRNA from 1 species
UGUGGGAGAAGAGGCUGGUGGCGAAGCCUACCUACCUGUACAUUUUAGGGGGCCCUGAACUGGGCAGAUGUGAGAGCCCUCCCUGGGAUAGUGGUUAGUAAUUCCAGCCCACACAGACUACAUGCUGCACUUUGGCAGAUGCUCAGGGGGGCUCAGCUUGCGGCACAAUGGGAGCCCAGGGAAAGGGCUUUUCCCCAAGUUUGAGGGGUCAUUCAGAGAAGGUUGAAUGGGAAUUUCCCAGAGGAAAGAGAAAGGGAAGAGAGUUCGGGUGGAGAGGCUGGCUCUAGCAGAAGCCUGGAGGAGAGAAAACAUUUCAUUUCUGCAGGUUUGCAGAUCCGCAUGUGGAAAGAAUGUAGAGUGACAAGUUCAAGGGCAUUCUAUGGAACUGGUGGUCUGCACUCUUCAGAAUGUCAUAUUAAGAAAGAGAAAGAAAGGCUCCAACACUGUCUCUGAUUAAAAGAAACUAUACAAACAUUACAACUAAAUGCAAUGCACAGUCCUGUACUGGUCCUGACUGGGGAGAAGCAGGAACACUAAGAAAGCAUUAUUAAGACAAUUGGUGAAAUUUGAAUAUGGGCUGUAUAGUAAAUAGCAGUUUUCUAUGACAUUAAAUAAAAUCCCAUUUUAUCAUAUGUAGGAAGAUGUCCUUGCUUUUAGGAAAUUUAGGCUGAAAUAUUAAGGAUCAAAGGGUAGGUUGUCUACAGUGAAAUCUUAAAUGUUUCAGGGGAAAUUUCUGUUUAUUUAAACCAAGGGAAAAUUUCAAACAAAUAUGGCAAAAUACUAGCAAUGGAAAUAUUGGGCAGAGAGGUUUAAGGGAGUUCUUCUACACUUCCUGUUCUUCUUUUGGAUUCAACUGAUUUCAAAAUAAAAAGGGUUUCUUAAUGAGUGGAGAAAAAGUGUAGGCUGAGUGUCAGGAAAGGGAGAGAGAAGUCCGGGAAGUUCAGUUUAUUGGAAGGGGCGUUGAGGCGUGCAAAGGCUAAGUGGCUGGUUGAGGGUCAGUGAGCAAUUAGCACGGACUUUGAGCCCCUAAGCCUUACUUCUGAGACCCAAGUUGUGGCUCUUUCUGGUAAACUGGAGGAUCCCAGGAGGGAAGCAUGUGUUAAUAUAUGGCCUGUGAGGUGGAGAAGCCCUCGGGGGUGUAAUUACUGCUUGCCGCCCCGGAGUUAUCCACGCAACUCCUAUUAUUCCAGGUUAUCAUUACUGUGAGCGGUGCCCUGAAUUCCCCAUGCACUGCCCUGAAAUUUGCCCCAUAUGUUUGUAAAAGUUGAUGACAUCUUUGGGACCUUUUUUCUAAUGCGAGCAGAAGCUGUAAAGUUUCAAUUGUCGCAGCUUGUUGGGAUCAAGUGUCCGUUCUCGUGCACCAUAAAGGGGCUCUCUUCUGAUAUCCGAUGUCAAACAAAUGUGCUUGAACAAUCUGCUGAUUUUAGAUGAUGCAGGGUGCUGUCAUCCCUUAGAUAGGAAUUUAGGAGCAAAUCUUUCUCCUUUUCAAAGGAGAGUGACUCAGUGCAGAGUAAUGGAAUCCCAGCUCACUACUGGACCAGCGUUAAAAUGAAGGUUUUACUUUCACAUGACUUUUGGCGUAAGCAUAUGUUGGUACAACCGCUUUGAGAAACUAUCAGGAGCUAAUAAAGCCUCCUAUGUACUGAAUAAAAGCAAGCCGAUGCUUGUACAUUUGGCUAAGAGAAAUGAGUACACAUGUCCACACCUAGACACAUGUACAAAAGUACUCACAGCAGCUUCAAUAAUAAAAGCCACAAAUGGGAAUGUCCCAAAUGCCCAUCAACACUAGAAUGGAUCAAUAAACUGUGGUAUAGUCACAUGUGGCGUUCUGCUGGGCAAGGUGAAAGAAUGCAAUGCUGAAGCACCCGGGAAUAUGGCUAAACCUCAUGGCCAUGUGGAUGCAAGAGAAAACAUUCGGCAUCAUUCUAUUUAUUUGAAGUUUAAAGACAGGUGACUUCUGAUGAUAAAUGGCAGAAUAGUGAAUAUUAGGAGGGUGUUGACUGGGAGGGGGUGUGAGGGAGCCAUCCUGGGUGCUGGAGAUUUUUGAUACCUUUAUCCAGGUGGUGGUCACACAAAGGACCACUUAAAGGAGCUCCCUGGUGGCCUAGCAGUUAAAGGAUCUGGCAUUGUCACUGUUGGGGUUUGGGUUACUGCUGUGGCGCAGUUUUGAUCCAUGGCCCUAGGAAGUGCCACAUGCUGAAAAAAAAGAAUUAAGAGAAAAGGGAGUUCUAGGGUUCCGGCCAUGAUACAGUGGGUUAAGAAUCCAGCUGCAACAGCUCAGGUCACUGAAGAGGUGCGGGUUCGAUUCUCAGCCUGGCACAGUGGGCUAAAGAUCCAGCGUUGCAGAAGCCGUGGCCAUAAAAAAAUGGAGGGGAGAGGGGAGUUCCUUUCCCCUAAUAGGGCUGUCUUGAGGGACUGCAGAACGAACCAACCCAAAGACCAUGUCCGGUGGAAGCAGCUUGAUAGUAGUAGCCUUGUGUUCUCAGCCCCAUUUAGAGAUAACCAGUCACAUGUGCUCUUGCUGACGUGUGGCUAGCAGUCAUCAGUCACCGAAGCAUCAGUCAAGGCCAGUGUGUUGGUCCAGUGGUCUCAGGACUGCUUCUACCUGGAGGACAGAGGCUGAGACUACUCACACUCCAACGCAUCAGAGAAUCACAUGAUCAUGUUCAAAUGCAUAUUCUGAGCCAGUAGAUCAUAUGUGGGGCCUGAGAGACUGCAUUUCCAAUAAAUUCCCAGGUGAUGAUGGUGCUGCCAGAUCAGUUUUGAGGAUCAAGGUGUGAUAGGCAGACAGGCCAGGGUGAGAAUCUUGGUUCUGCCACUUAUGAGCUUUGUGAUUUUUGCCAAACUCCUCCAUCUCUCUGAAGAUCUCUCAGUGUCCUCCAGAGACUGGGGCAGCAGGGAGGAUCGUGUGGAUCCGACAGGGUGAAACACAGAAAGUGCUCUGCACAGUGACUGGCCUCAACCGAAGGCUCCUUAAUUGGGAGCUCUCGUUAUAUUUCUUUUUCUUCAUGAAGAAGAGGGUUUGGGUCAUAAUUUGGAGAAAGGUGACCGAGUGUGGUUUGUAUGGGCAGAAACUAGCAAACCUUGAUUUCCCUCACAGCCUGUGGAAGAAAGAUGAUCUGUUCUCCCUCUUCUUUUCGCCCACUUCAUCCCAUAAUCCUUCCCUUGGUCUCCACGAUCAAGAUAGAUUUUCUCUUCACUUUGCUCCCCAUUCCAAUUCACCCUAAAUCUAGUAAAGACAGAAGAACUCAGGCAGAACUGAAGCUUGAAGCCUGGCAGGUUGUUAGAGUGUCAGAUUGUGCCCAGAGGUGAUAUCUUUGUUAAAGAAACCUCUUCUCUACUUGGCUUCGUCUAGAGGGGCGGGGUCGGCCCCUGGGAGUCCAGGUCUGAGGCUGGCUCUCCGCCUGUGCCUACGCUCAGCUGCCCUCUCCAGAGUCUACCCGGGCUGCUCUGUGCACAGGGGCCCCUUUGCAGGAAGACAUAUGUUCCUCAAUCUGUGGGGCUGUCAGUUGGUAUCUUUUUCAAGAGCUGAAUUAUCUUAUUGUCAAAGAGGGGAAAAAAGAGAAAAGCUUGGUUCCGUGUUGCCUGGAAGGUAACUGGCCUGGUCUGGGUCUGGGUUUCAAGGUGACUUUCUUUACUUUGGGGACCAUUUGAAUGGAGUCCUGAGUAGGUCUGAUUUAGGCAGAGUGGAGGGGGCGGGGGAGCUUAGUUCAAUUCCACAAAGGAAGUUGUAUUAGUGAGGGCCAGGCACUCAACCAGGCACAGAGGGUUCAAAAAUAAUCAACCAACCAAAGGCAGUCACAGAGGAGCAUGGAGACAGAAAAAGAAGCAAGUGUAGCACCCUGAGAGAAAUGCAGAGGUCAGGGUGUGCAGGGAUCCCGUGGGAGCACAGAGCUGGGGAAAGACAGGAACAUGUGGUCGCUGGUCUUCAAAGAUGGCCUCCCAGUCAGCCAGACCUCUUGGCAUUCAUGCCCUUGGGUAGUCCUCUCCUUACUGAAUCUGGGCUGGCCUUGGUCACCAACAGAAUUCAGUGGCAGUGUCCCUGUGUGACUUCUGAUGCUGGAUUGUAAACAACCUUGUAGCCUCUGCCAUGAUCUUUCUGAACACAUGCUCUGGGAGAAACCAGCUGUUGUAUAAAAAGCAUGGUUCUGCUGAGCCACCAUGCUGUGAAGAAACCCAGUGUAGCCUGUGAGGGCAGCACAAGAAGACAGGCAGAAAGAUACCCACCCAGUCAUUCCACUGGCUAAGCCAGCAAUGGAGAGGUGUGUGAAGGAGCUCUCUUGGGUGCUGAGCCCAGCUGAUCCUUCGGACCACCCUGCACUUUCUCCCAUCUCCCUCCCGCCCCCUUUCCCCAUCAUCUGACUGCAGUUGCAUAAGAGAACCACUCAGCUGAGCUCCACCAAGCCUCAGCACCUUGAGGAACCGUGAGCAAUAAUAAUAACUGUUGCUUUGAGCUGCUAAAUUUGCAGAUGGUUUAUUACAGGACAAUAGGUUACUAGAAGAGAGAAGGAUCUGGUAGAAAGCACCCCUGAGCUGAGAGUCAGAGAGCAGAUUGCCAGGCAGGAGGGCAUCCAUGGAGAAGUGCAUCUUGAAAAACCACAUAGAGGGAAAACAAAAAACAAAAACAAACCAGAAUGGGCUCCGGAGGAAUUAGGAGCAGUUAAACAUUAAGAGGGAGCAAAAGGCCAGGCACAGAGUCAUGGAGGAGGGGCCGGGAGAGGCCAGCAGGGGCUGGAAUCAGAGAUUCAGGGCAAGGAGUUCUAAAUGACACACAUACACCAUGUGGUUUGUGGGAGCUUUGUUUUAUUUACAAUCUUGAGAGGUGGGGACGUUGUCCUCUAGAAAUCUCUCCAUGGCUACUGUCGUUAUUGUCCUUGGCAGCUGCGACAAGAACCACUCCAAAGACUUGGUAAAAAGCAAGUGCUCAAUGGCCUCUCGGCUCAAAGAAAGAGGGGAAAGGGUGAAGCACUGUUCACAGCUCUUCAGCUGCUCUUCCCAUGUCUGGGAAGUGUUACAUGUGGAGAGUCUUACACCCGGUUUCAGCAGCAGCCAGAGACAUGUUCCUUGAAUUGGCAAGGUAGCCACAAAGCACCUGUCCACCAGGGUUGGGCACUGUGUGAUUUAAUUUACCCUGACUCCAAGCCAGCUUUUCCCUCAAGUCUGGAGUGUCCCUCCCUUCUACCUCCUGCUCCACUGUAAGGGGAAGAGCCAAAGAGAAGCUUCGGCUUCCCCUCCACCAUCAGAUCUACUUACCUCCUUAGCCUCCAUUUGCUGUCCUGUAAAAUGGGAAUGAUAAUCCCUACCUCACGGCUGACUUGAGGGAAUUAAAGGAAAUCCUGUACGUCAAGUAAGCAGCCUGGAAUGCAUGCACAGGGCACGCUCAGCCAGUGCAGGCUCUCAUUAAGAUGUCCUUGUUUUGAUGCCCUGGUCUUACACUAAGCCUGCUCUUGGGGUAACAGGUAUGGAACCAACCAGCCAUCCAUGGCUUGCUUUACUCAUGGACUGAGUCUCUCUUUGCUCCAGCGUGCAGAUGGCCUCUCAGGCUCUGGCAGCCUCGGCUUUUAACUAAUAGCUAACAUUUCUUGAGAUCUCACUGUGCUACAAAUGAGUUUUCCCUUUAAUCCUCAUAAAAAUCCCACACACCGGGAACAUUGUACAUUUGCAAGGAGGUACUUUGCCCAGAGCUAUGCAGCCCGGAAGGGCCCCAGCUGGAAUCUGAACGCUCCAGCACCCGCUGCCUGACACUGCUGCACACUGCUUCCCAAAGGAGUCUGUUCUAGAAGGGAGCCCCUCGGGGCAGAAAUGCACACCACCUCUCACUGCUCUUGAAGCUGAGAUAAACUGUAGACCCUGCAAUUAGCACGUCUGGUGACUUUUUCUUUUACUCCUAAAUCCAAGUGUAAAAGAAAUGACAGAAGCUUCCUUUUAACCCUGAAUCCCCAUAAUUACCAGUGGGAAAAGUCCUCAGAAAACGCCAUUCCUUGUUCAGAGGUUUCGAGGAAUGAUCUGGAGCUUAUGCUAGAAAAUAAAUCCAAUUGGACAGGGACUCUGUUUUCCUCGCCCCUGUAAAAUCUGUACUUAGAGCAGUGCCUGGCCCAUAGUAGAUGCUCAAGAAAUAUUGGUUGAAUGGGUGCAGGACUGACUUUUCCAUUGGGCCCAAUAGACACAGUAAUAGGGAGUUCCUGUUGUGGCUCAGCAAGUUAAGAACCCGACAUAGGGUCCAUGAGGACGCAGGUUCGAUCUCUGGCCUUGCUUAGUGGGUUAAGGAUCUGGCGUUGCCGUGAGCUAUGGUGUAGGUUACAGAUGCAGCUCAGAUCUCGCAUUGCUGUGUCUGUGGCAUAGGGCAGCAGCUGUAGCUCCAAUUUGACCCCUAGCCUGGGAACUUCCAUAUGCC